UAGCGUAUUCGUUUGACGUUAGCGACAGAAGAAAGCACCGGCUAACUCCGUGCCAGCAGCGCGGUAAUACGGAGGGUGCGAGCGUUAAUCGGAAUUACUGGGCGUAAAGACGCAUGCAGGUGGUUUGUUAAGUCAGAUGUGAAAGACCCGGGGCGUCAACCUACGGAAUAGCAUUUGUAAACUAGGCAGACUAGAGUACUGUAGAGGGGGGUAGGAAUUUCAGGUGUAGCGGUGAAAUGCGUAGAGAUCUGAAGGAAUACCGGUGGCGAAGGCGGCCCCCUCGGACAGAUACUGACACUCAGAUGCGAAAGCGUGGGGAGCAAACAGGAUUAGAUACCCUGGUAG
rnacentral:rRNA from 1 species